UGACCGCUGGCUACAGGCUUAACACAUGCAAGUCGAGGGGAAACGACGGGGAAGCUUGCUUCCCCGGGCGUCGACCGGCGCACGGGUGAGUAACGCGUAUCCAACCUGCCUCUGACUGAGGGAUAACCCGUCGAAAGUCGGCCUAAUACCUCAUGGCAUCGUCUGCGGGCAUCCAACGACGAUUAAAGAUUUCAUCGGUCAGAGAUGGGGAUGCGUCUGAUUAGCUUGUUGGCGGGGUAACGGCCCACCAAGGCGACGAUCAGUAGGGGUUCUGAGAGGAAGGUCCCCCACAUUGGAACUGAGACACGGUCCAAACUCCUACGGGAGGCAGCAGUGAGGAAUAUUGGUCAAUGGGUGAGAGCCUGAACCAGCCAAGUAGCGUGCAGGAUGACGGCCCUAUGGGUUGUAAACUGCUUUUAUGCGGGGAUAAAGUGAGGGACGUGUCCUUCAUUGCAGGUACCGCAUGAAUAAGGACCGGCUAAUUCCGUG
rnacentral:rRNA from 1 species